CCUACGGGGUGCACCAGUGGGGAAUAUUGCACAAUGGAGGAAACUCUGAUGCAGCAACGCCGCGUGGAGGAUGACGCAUUUCGGUGUGUAAACUCCUUUUAUAUAGGAAGAUAAUGACGGUACUAUAUGAAUAAGCACCGGCUAACUCCGUGCCAGCAGCCGCGGUAAUACGGAGGGUGCAAGCGUUACUCGGAAUCACUGGGCGUAAAGCGCGCGCAGGCGGUUUGAUAAGUUGGAUGUGAAAGCCUACGGCUCAACCGUAGAACUGCAUCCAAAACUGUCAAACUAGAGUGUGGGAGAGGAAGAUGGAAUUAGUUGUGUAGGGGUAAAAUCCGUAGAGAUAACUAGGAAUACCAAAAGCGAAGGCAAUCUUCUGGAACAUUACUGACGCUGAGGCGCGAAAGCGUGGGGAGCAAACAGGAUUAGAUACCCUAGUAGUC
rnacentral:rRNA from 1 species